rnacentral:lncRNA from 1 species
UGUCAUCUGACAAAUGCCAAGCAAGAUGGCGUGAAUCAGCAAAGCUUUACCUGCUAGAAAUAGCAACCCAAAUACUUUUAAGUCAGAUCCCAACGCUGGAUGUUCAAGAACUAAAUGAAGGACAGAUUUUCAAUCCCGGGAUCAUGCUGAUUCCUAAAAGGAGCAAAGACUAUGUUCAUAGCACUUUAAAAGGUCUCCAAGAGUAGAAGUGGCAAGGAAGGACGUAAUUAUCCUCAAAGCAGAAGUCUGACCUGCAUGCUUGCAACAGUAGACUCUGCUAAAGUUACUCAAUGUGACAAGUGGCAGUGUUAAACCAAAAGACUUAAUCUGUAAUUCGUCUUAACCACAGCGGAAUUUGAACUCAAGCCAUGAAGCUAAACGGUUUUUCUUCUAAUUACGGCAGUAAUUUCAAUUGACUAAAGAUCUUUUUGGCUCACUUCAAAAAGUUCAUUCUCAGUUGAUUAUAAUUAAUCAUGUUGUUUUUUCAAGCCGGGCGUAUUCAUGGGAAUGUUUUCCAAUGUCAUCAAUUGCCUAUUGUCUGAGUCACAUAAUUAGUUCUAAUGAUUAUUGAUAAUUCUUGUAUUGAAAUUGUUAACAUCAAUUUAUAUUUCUUUUGAUCCCGAGAUGUUACGUGUGUCUGCAGCUUUCAGUUGGAAGUUCUAAAGUGAUAAAAAUCUUUACAAAUAUUUGGAACUGCCGAGGUUAAAACAAUUGGGUCUCUUGAGAUUUGGUAUACUUUAAGCGUCGUAAAGAAUACACUAGUAAUCUGACUAUUGAUACAAUUAUACCAUUGCCUGGCACUCACUCUUUUCUUCGUACAGGUGAAUACAACAUGUUUGAGAUCUACCCAUCUGACCACGAUGUUGUUAGUACGACUACAGUUUUCGACCUUGGAUGUAUCCCUGAAGUCUUGUGUUUGUUCUUCUGAGAGAGGUUGAUAAUAACGAGAUCGUGCUCACAGAGAAAGAAAGUAAUGCUAUUGCUGUUAAUUUUAUCAAAUCACAGCACCUGAUCACGCGGUCUCACUCUUUCAUUUUCUAUU